GCUGCAAAGUACAAAAGGCGCAAGCCGCUUUCACUACCGAAAUCGUCUCAAUAUGUAAAACUGGUGGAGGAGUUCAAGGAGCACACGGAAGGAAGCAAUCCCACGCAUAAAAUGAGGGAGAAUGCCAACCAGCGAGCUAGCCAUGUCCUUACCUUCCUGAGGUUUAUGUCCCAGCCCGCUGAUCCUCAUUUGAACCUUCUCUUCUUGAAGGACUACGGUCAGAUCAGGAAAUUUACAGCCCAUCUGUCUGAGCGUAACUUGAAACCGAUGACGAUAAGAAGCUACCUGACGGAUGCUGUUGUAUUUGUGAAGUACAUUAUGAGUACGGCGCCAGAAGGGGUGAAAAUAGACGUAAAAAGCCUAAAUGCGCUACUAGUGGAACUCCGGGCGAGGGUGAGGGACGUGUCCAGAGCUGUGGUAGGGCAACAGCUGGCUCAGCGCCGCAGAAAGUCCGGUAAGAUCACAUCGCCCCACCUCUAUUUGUUGACAAAUCAUAAAACACAGAACACAUGUAUGAUAAAUUGUUUCAAUUUUCAGUUGAACUGGUGAAAGCGACUCAUCGUGCAUGAUUCAUUCAUAACACACCAACAAGGAUUUCUGCUGCACUCGGUAAGAAUCACUGCUCACUGCAGUAGUUUGAAUAUAAUGUAUAUUUUACUUAAAACUAUAUUAUAUACUUGAGCUCUGGACAGGCCUGCUGACCUAACAUUAAAGGGACCAGCACCUAGAAACUGGGCUUAACACAUCUGAACAUUCAAGCAGGAUGAGCUACAUGAACAGCAAUAU